AGUAUGCUCAUGGAUAUAUUCAAGUCCUCUAGCUGAAUCUAGAGCAAUUUGUACCCUAGUCAACCAUGGCAAUGGAUCCCUCUCUGAGCCGCGCAGAUGCUGACUCAAAUUACCAUUCUCAAUGAACUCGUAGACCAAAAAUAAGGAACCUUCAACACAAUAACCUAUUAAGCGCACCAGGUUCAAGUGAUGAACAUGCGUUAGAACCUUCAGUUCAGCAAGAAACUCCUUGGAUGCUUGCAUAUCCAUCUUUUUUAUUGCAGCUUUCUGCAAGACAUGGAGUAAAGACUGAAAGAAUGAGGCAAUUUAGGUAUAAUGUGAUGAUCAUAUCAUGAUUGAUUUCUU
rnacentral:misc_RNA from 1 species